rnacentral:rRNA from 1 species
UACGUAGGGUCCGAGCGUUGUCCGGAAUUACUGGGCGUAAAGAGCUCGUAGGUGGUUUGUCGCGUUGUUCGUGAAACUCACAGCUCAACUGUGGGCGUGCGGGCGAUACGGGCAGACGUUGAGUACUGCAGGGGAGACUGGAAUUCCUGGUGUAGCGGUGGAAUGCGCAGAUAUCAGGAGGAACACCGGUGGCGAAGGCGGGUCUCUGGGCAGUAACUGACGCUGAGGAGCGAAAAGCGUGGGGAGCGAACAGG